GGCUACGUAGCUCAGUUGGUUAGAGCACAUCACUCAUAAUGAUCGGCUCACAGGUUCGAAUCCCGUCGUAGCCACCA
rnacentral:tRNA from 1 species